CUGUGAACAUCAGUUCCGAAUUAGGAAGACUGUAAACGGCCAUAUAAUAUUUCUUUUAUAUCAGUCAUUGUCAGUUUAGUUUUAUUUGAUAGCUGGAUUAAUUAGAAAAUUAAUUGAAAGCUGUAUAUUUAGACGUAAGGAGGAUUUUCUCCAUCAUUUAUGUCAUCUGCUAUCGUAAACCGCUGCGUGACACGAGAGCGCCAAAAAAGGCGGGGUAUAACCGCGCAAUAAUACAUCGCCAAUAAAUAGUCCCUGGAGACAAGGCUUCUUGCAGAAACUGAAACGCAGAGAAGAUCAGCGUGUUUGGAAUUUUGAGUGGAACUGACAAGAAAGGUAACAAAGAUGAAUCCGUCAACAUAUUUCGCAGGCUUGGGAUUAUUAUUAUGUUUCUUAGCAACAGUGACAUUAACAUAUACCUCAGAACUAGGUGAUGAGGCAGACGACUUUCCACCUAACAUCCGGUACUUUUUGAACAAUAUGAAAAAUGAGUUGUCACCGGAAGCUCCUCCCCACGUCUACAUGAACAAAUUAAAGCGAUAUCUUCAUGAAUCUAAAUCAGCAGCUAAACGAAACGGAUUUUGGAUCUGGAUGCCGGCUCAAGGAUACGUACCAGUUAAAGAAGACGACAGGCCCGCAGAAACCAAAAGCACCGGAAGUUCAAGCGUUCUCCGAUACGGCUAAUUACAUUAAGUAACUUUCCGAAUUAAUAUGCAAAUUUUUGAUACAGAUGUGCCAAUUAGAUUUCUCUAAACUAUGUGACUUUAUUAACAGUUAUUUACAGAACAUCAUUUUAUUUUUUAAUUUUCUCAAAAGAAUGAACUAUACUAAACAAUCCACUCACUGCUGGUGAAUCAGACUGAAGUCACGAGACGCACGUGCUUAACAUUGUUAAGAUUUCAUGAAAUAAAAUAUACUUUAUUCUAUA